rnacentral:rRNA from 1 species
UACGUAGGGGGCAAGCGUUGUCCGGAUUUAUUGGGCGUAAAGCGCGUGUAGGCGGCCAGGUAGGUCCGCUGUGAAAACCCGAGGCUCAACCUCGGGACGUCGGCGGAAACCAUUUGGCUAGAGUCCGGAAGAGGAGAGUGGAAUUCCCGGUGUAGCGGUGGAAUGCGCAGAUAUCAGGAGGAACACCAAUGGCGAAGGCAGCUCGCUGGGACGGUACUGACGCUGAGGCGCGAAAGCUAGGGGAGCAAACAGG